UACGAAGGGUGCAAGCGUUACUCGGAAUUACUGGGCGUAAAGCGUGCGUAGGCGGUUUGUUAAGUCCGUUGUGAAAUCCCCGGGCUUAACCUGGGAACUGCGCUUGUAACUGGCAAGCUGGAGUGUGGCAGAGGGGGGUGGAAUUCCACGUGUAGCAGUGAAAUGCGUAGAGAUGUGGAGGAACACCGAUGGCGAAGGCAGCCCCCUGGGCUGAACACGUGACGCUCGAUGCACGAAAGCGUGGGGAGCAAACAGG
rnacentral:rRNA from 1 species